rnacentral:SRP_RNA from 1 species
GGGGACCCGGGCAAUGGGGACAUGCGAACCUGGUCAGGGCGGGAACGCAGCAGCCAUAAGCACCGUCUCUUUGUGCCCGGG